rnacentral:rRNA from 1 species
GAUGAACGCUGGCGGCGUGCCUAAUACAUGCAAGUCGAGCGAACGGACGAGAAGCUUGCUUCUCUGAUGUUAGCGGCGGACGGGUGAGUAACACGUGGAUAACCUACCUAUAAGACUGGGAUAACUUCGGGAAGCCGGAGCUAAUACCGGAUGAUAUUUUGAACCGCAUGGUUCAAAAGUGAAAGACGGUCUUGCUGUCACUUAUAGAUGGAUCCGCGCUGCAUUAGCUAGUUGGUAAGGUAACGGCUUACCAAGGCAACGAUGCAUAGCCGACCUGAGAGGGUGAUCGGCCACACUGGAACUGAGACACGGUCCAGACUCCUACGGGAGGCAGCAGUAGGGAAUCCUCCGCAAUGGGCGAAAGCCUGACGGAGCAACGCCGCGUGAGUGAUGAAGGUCUUCGGAUCGUAAAACUCUGUUAUUAGGGAAGAACAUAUGUGUAAGUAACUGUGCACAUCUUGACGGUACCUAAUCAGAAAGCCACGGCUAACUACGUG